rnacentral:misc_RNA from 1 species
GAUGAAGAACGUAGCGAAAUGCGAUAAGUAAUGUGAAUUGCAGAAUUCAGUGAAUCAUCGAAUCUUUGAACGCACAUUGCGCCCCUUGGUAUUCCGAGGGGCAUGCCUGUUCGAGCGUCAUUAUAACCCCUCAAGCUCAGCUUGGUGUUGGGGCCUGCUGCACUGGCAGCCCUUAAAAUCAGUGGCGGCGCCAUCUGGCUCUAAGCGUAGUAAUUCUUCUCGCUAUGGAGUCCUGGUGGAUGCUUGCCAUCAACCCCCAAUUUUUCUAUGGUUGACCUCGGAUCAGGGAUACCCGCUGAACUUAAGCAUAUCAAUAAGCGGAGGA